rnacentral:rRNA from 1 species
CCUACGGGUGGCAGCAGUCGGGAAUAUUGCACAAUGGAGGCAACCCUGAUGCAGCGACGCCGCGUGCAGGAAGAAGGAUUUCGGAUUGUAAAGUGCUUUCAACAGGGAAGAAAAGAGACAGUACCUGUAGAAUAAGCUCCGGCUAACUACGUGCAAGCAGCAGCGGUAAUACGUAGGGAGCAAGCGUUAUCCGGAUUUACUGGGUGUAAAGGGUGCGUAGACGGAGAAGCAAGUUAGUUGUGAAAUCCCUCGGCUGAACUGAGGAACUGCAUCUAAACCUAGUUACCUUGAGUACUGGAGAGGAAGGUGGAAUUCCUAGUGUAGCGGUGAAAUGCGUAGAUAUUAGGAGGAACACCAGUGGCGAAGGCGACUUUCUGGACAGUAACUGACGUUGAGGCGCGAAAGUGUGGGGAGCAAACAGGAUUAGAUACCCCGGUAGUC